AAUUCGUAACAAGGUUUCCGUAGGUGAACCUGCGGGAGGAUCAUUAACACGUAUCCAAACGUUAAACCCCAACAGUUACAAUCGAGCGGUAGUUCUAUAGGCAAUGUUUCCCCAAGCAGUCAGUGUCGGAAAGUGUCAUUGAUUGUGCAAGGAUAGCGCUUCUACGAUUCCUGUAGACCGUACACUCGGGCAGGAGCUUUGCCAAAGGGUCCCCAUGCCCCCUAAUAACCCCACAGUUUAAUGUGAAGCUCAAUGUAAUACAUUGGGUAAAAAAACCGAACAACUGUUAACAAUGGAUAUCUUGGUUCUC
rnacentral:misc_RNA from 1 species